rnacentral:rRNA from 1 species
UACGGAGGGUGCAAGCGUUAAUCGGAAUUACUGGGCGUAAAGGGUGCGUAGGCGGUUUGGCAAGUCUUGUGUGAAAUCUUUGGGCUCAACCCAAAGUCUGCACAAGAAACUGCCGGGCUUGAGUAUGGGAGAGGUGAGUGGAAUUUCCGGUGUAGCGGUGAAAUGCGUAGAUAUCGGAAGGAACACCUGUGGCGAAAGCGGCUCACUGGACCAUUACUGACGCUGAGGCACGAAAGCUAGGGGAGCAAACAGGAGUUAGAAA